rnacentral:rRNA from 1 species
UAGGGAAUCUUCGGCAAUGGGGGCAACCCUGACCGAGCAACGCCGCGUGAGUGAAGAAGGUUUUCGGAUCGUAAAGCUCUGUUGUAAGAGAAGAACGUGUGUGAGAGUGGAAAGUUCACACAGUGACGGUAACUUACCAGAAAGGGACGGCUAACUACGUGCCAGCAGCCGCGGUAAUACGUAGGUCCCGAGCGUUGUCCGGAUUUAUUGGGCGUAAAGCGAGCGCAGGCGGUUUAAUAAGUCUGCAGUUAAAGGCAGUGGCUUAACCAUUGUUCGCUUUGGAAACUGUUAAACUUGAGUGCAGAAGGGGAGAGUGGAAUUCCAUGUGUAGCGGUGAAAUGCGUAGAUAUAUGGAGGAACACCGGUGGCGAAAGCGGCUCUCUGGUCUGUAACUGACGCUGAGGCUCGAAAGCGUGGGGAGCAAACAGG